UACGUAGGGUCCGAGCGUUGUCCGGAAUUAUUGGGCGUAAAGAGCUCGUAGGCGGUCUGUUGCGUCGGUUGUGAAAACCUGGGGCUCAACUCCAGGCCUGCAAUCGAUACGGGCAGACUAGAGUUCGGUAGGGGAGACUGGAAUUCAUGGUGUAGCGGUGAAAUGCGCAGAUAUCAGGAGGAACACCGGUGGCGAAGGCGGGUCUCUGGGCCGAAACUGACGCUGAGGCGCGAAAGCGUGGGGAGCGAACAGG
rnacentral:rRNA from 1 species